rnacentral:rRNA from 1 species
GACGAAGGGGGCUAGCGUUGUUCGGAAUUACUGGGCGUAAAGGGCCCGUAGGCGGCCAACUAAGUCAGACGUGAAAUCCCUCAGCUUAACUGGGGAACUGCGUCUGAUACUGGAUGGCUUGGAUUCGGGAGAGGAAUGCGGAAUUCCAGGUGUAGCGGUGAAAUGCGUAGAUAUCUGGAGGAACACCGGUGGCGAAGGCGGCAUUCUGGACCGAUAUUGACGCUGAGGAGCGAAAGCCAGGGGAGCAAACGGG